rnacentral:snRNA from 1 species
UGUGCCAUGCAAGUACAGUAAAA